CGUGAGGUAUUAUGAACAAACGCCAGUAAUAUCGCGUUUCAGAUCAUAAAUAAAAAGUGCUAUUAACAAUCAAUCAGCGUUAAGUUUAGAUGGCGCUGCUGUAGUUUUUGAUUCUUUUUGCGAGAAUGCGUCUUUGUGUCUGUGGCAAAUUUAGGUUUUUUAAGUGCAAUUAUGUAGGCAAAUAUUUCAACGUUGAUCUGACAGAUGGGCAUAUUUAUCCAAAUUGUUGCAAAUGAUCAUACUUCUAGUUUUAAAAACCACAAAAUUGUUUUGUAAUUUGGGCAACAAAAAAAACAACAAAUUCAAACAUAUAAGCUGAUUGUUAAAAUUGUACUCGGAGGUCACAAGGAAAAUUAUUAUAGAGAAGAUAAAGAUGGACACCAAGAAGGUGCAGAUAUACAUCCUUGUGGCAAUAUUGUUUCAUUGUUGUGAUGAAGCGACUUCCAUUGUCUGCACGCCGAACUUUUGCGACUCCGUGAACUGCAUAAAUGACGAAGUGUGCGGACCCAAUCAAGUACUGAAACCAGCAAGUUUUUGCAAUUGUUGUAAGAAAUGUGUAACAAUCUUGAAGGAAAAUCAAAGAUGUAGUUCGCUUUUGGAUUCUUUGCGUGGAUUUCCCAAGUUACACGAAUGUGAUGAAGGAUUAGUUUGCAUUAAUGAUGUUUGUCGUUCAAUCAAUGAGCAAUUGGAUCCCAUAUUUGCUAUGUUUUAAGAUUUUUGUUGUUGUGACCAUUCACAUGUUUACUUAUGUACUAUUUCAUCCUGAUAAUGUAAAAUUAUCCAACUAUAAUGUACUGUUAGAUAUUUAAUUAUUAGAUUAGGUAUAAUUAAA